CGUAUACGACCGACCCUGGGGCUUGUUCCACGGCGGGAGGACAGGGAACAGGAGGCAUCCCUAUUCCUCUGCAGCCAAAAGUGGCUUGAAGGAACAAGAAGACCCUCCCAUCACCGGCCGUGUUCAGUGACAGAUUUUCCUGCCUGCCUUUCCUCCCUGCACUCAGAUGCUUCAGCAGUAGGGCACACAAUUAGAUAAAACUCUGCACAUACGGAUGGUUUUAUAGACGAAACCCAGCCCAUUCUGGAAGCUACUGGGAAUGCAGUCAAUGUGAGAGGUGGGGAAAGAAGGAAGGAAGAUGGGAAGAAAGAGGAAAAGAAGAAAAGAGAAAAGUUGGCAGUAGAUCUGGAAACUACACUACUGUGUGGAACCCUUUUUAACUCUCCGGAAUUCUGGAUUGUAAAGGACGGAAGGUUGGUUGAGAAGGGCCACUCGAAUCCCCGUCUUCUCUCCAAGCAGUUAACUUCCCAGAUCCCGAAUCACUCAGAAGUGAUUACCCACCCAACAGCAGUGACUUAUGGAAAAGAGCAAGGAGCUAAGAGAGGAAAACAGAGGGACAUUCUGAACAGACAGAAUUUCCAAAAAGUCAUUUUUGCCCUAGCAUAGCAAUUUGAGGACAAUACUGUGGAGGGGCCAGUAUUUCUAGAGGAAAAGAUCCUGGAACUCAGAGACUUUCAGAGUAAGAUUCACCAAUACUACCCCGGAAACCUGGACUGGGGAGGACUCUGGGCACCUAUUUAUUGGGGGAGUCUAAAAACUCACCUCCCUCUACUUUUUUUAAAAAUAGUAUUCUUAAGUA